rnacentral:tRNA from 1 species
GGGGUUGUGGCUCAGUGGUAGAGCACACACGUAGCACGCACGAGGGCCUGGGUUCCAUCCCCAGCACCUCCA